UACGUAGGGUGCAAGCGUUGUCCGGAAUUAUUGGGCGUAAAGAGCUCGUAGGCGGUCUGUCGCGUCGGAUGUGAAAACUCGGGGCUCAACCCCGAGCCUGCAUUCGAUACGGGCAGACUAGAGUUCGGUAGGGGAGACUGGAAUUCCAGGUGUAGUGGUGAAAUACGUAGAUAUCUGGAGGAACACCGGUGGCGAAGGCGGCGAUCUGGCCCAACACUGACGCUGAGACCCGAAAGCAUGGGGAUCAAACAGG
rnacentral:rRNA from 1 species